rnacentral:rRNA from 1 species
GGCGUAAAGCGCACGCAGGCGGUCUGUCAAGUCGGAUGUGAAAUCCCCGGGCUUAACCUGGGAACUGCAUUCGAAACUGGCAGGCUAGAGUCUUGUAGAGGGGGGUAGAAUUCCAGGUGUAGCGGUGAAAUGCGUAGAGAUCUGGAGGAAUACCGGUGGCGAAGGCGGCCCCCUGGACAAAGACUGACGCUCAGGUGCGAAAGCGUGGGGAGCAAACAGGAUUAGAUACCCUGGUAGUCCACGCCGUAAACGAUGUCGAUUUGGAGGUUGUGCCCUUGAGGCGUGGCUUCCGGAGCUAACGCGUUAAAUCGACCGCCUGGGGAGUACGGCCGCAAGGUUAAAACUCAAAUGAAUUGACGGGGGCCCGCACAAGCGGUGGAGCAUGUGGUUUAAUUCGAUGCAACGCGAAGAACCUUACCUGGUCUUGACAUCCACAGAACUUAGCAGAGAUGCUUUGGUGCCUUCGGGAACUGUGAGACAGGUGCUGCAUGGCUGUCGUCAGC